AGAAGGGAUGGAAGGAGAGAGGUAGAAGAGAAGGGAGGAGGCAGGAGGGAGGCAGAAGAGAAGGGAGGAGGCAGGAGGGAAAGAAGGAGGGAGGUAGAAGAGAAGGGAGGAGGCAAAAGGGAAAGAAGGAGGGAGGUAGAAGAGAAGGAAGGAGGCAGAAGGGAUGGAAGGAGGGAGGUAGAAGAGAAGGGAGGAGGCAGGAGGGAAAGAAGGAGGGAGGCAGAAGGGAUGGAAGGAGAGAGAAAGAAAACAAACAAAACUCUACCUCAAGGAUAUUCCAUCACUAUCACAACAACAACAACUCCCCUCCAUCUCCACCACCAUCACCACCUCACCAUCAUGCCCCCUCCUACAGAGACG